rnacentral:rRNA from 1 species
CCCUUAGAUGUCCUGGGCCGCACGCGCGCUACACUGAGUGUCUGAGAUACGAGUCUGCCUGGUCCGGCAAGGUCUAGGUAAUCGCUAAAAGACACAUCAUGCUUGGGAUAGAUUAUUGCAAAUAUUAAUCUUGAACGAGGAAUUCCUAGUAAGCGCAAGUCAUCAGCUUGUGUUGAUUACGUCCCUGCCCUUUGUACACACCGCCCGUCGCUCCUACCGAUUGAAUGUUCCGGUGAGCUCUUCGGACUGCGCGGUCUGCAGUUUCUGCGUUCCGUGCGGAAAGUUGCGCAAACCUUAACAUUUAGAGGAAGGAGAAGUCGUAACA